rnacentral:lncRNA from 1 species
UGGAGGGAGCUGGGAAGGUCACUCCAGCCUUUCUGGAGAUGGGGUCUGUAAUUUAACAAACAGGUCCUGAGAGAACCGAGCUGGAUUUUCUGGUUUUGUGUGCUCAUUUCCAUCUGGGAGAGCAGUCACUUCUUCUGGCCAGCACAAGCUGCUCUCUGGUUACCUGGUGAUCCUGACCAGGGAAUGAUCUGCCCAAACAGUAAGUGCUCCGCAGCCCAGCCACUUUUUAGCAUGAGGAGAUCAUGCCCAAACCAGAGUAGUGGUAGGAAGGAAUGGCCAAGGAUCAGGUGGUAUCCAAAGGGACAUACUCCUUGGGAAGAAAGAAGAGGGACGCCGAGCACCAUGAGUCCUGGGGUGCAGGGAGUUCCAGCUGAAGUGUACUUACAGUGCAUUGUGCACAGAGAAGAGGAAUUAUUUGUGGAAUGCAUCAUCAGCCAAGUCUCAACACACACACUGGAAAGAAUUGGCGUAGGCUCACCUGGUUUUGCAUGCAGAGGAGUCUUGAAGUGUAGGAGUUUGGACUGGUUUUUCUUUUUAAUUCUUUUUAUUAAUGCUACAAAACAACAGAUGCAAAUUUCCCAAUGCCUGCUUGCUUUUCACAUUUCUCAAAGUCAGAAUAACUAGCUGUCAGUGGGACUUCUCUUGUUGCAAAUAGUAUCAGACAAUUCUCUUCUCUUCUCUUCUCUUCUCUUCUCUUCUCUUCUCUUCUCUUCUCUUCUCUUCUCUUCUCUUCUCUUCUCUUCUCUUCUCUUCUCUUCUCUUCUCUUCUCUUCUCUUCUCUUCUCUUCUCUUCUCUUCUCUUCUCUUCUCUUCUCUUCUCUUCUCUUCCUCUUUUCCUUUUUCAUCUAUCUUACAAUAAUCAUAUUGUCUUUUCCUUAAACCUGCUUAGUACACCUUUUCCAGUUGCAGCAAUUUCUUUUAUAGUCUGGAAUUCUUACAGAGGCUGAGGAAAUGAGACCUAACAGUUGGAAUUGAUUGAAGGUGCCAUUAAGGCUAUGUGAAGAAUUGAUUUUGUUUCUCUCUAGUGAUGAGGUAAAAAAACAAACCGAACCAAACCAAACCAAACCCUCCAAACAAAUGAACAAACAAACAAGAAAACAAGCAGGAAAAAAAAAACCCAAACAAAAAUGAUCAAGAUUUUGGUUUGUAUUAAAAUAAAUCUAGACUUUUAAACA